rnacentral:rRNA from 1 species
UACGUAGGUGGCAAGCGUUGUCCGGAUUUAUUGGGUUUAAAGGGUGCGUAGGCGGCUUUAUAAGUCAGUGCUGAAAUAUCCCGGCUUAACCGGGAGGGUGGCAUUGAUACUGCAGAGCUUGAGUGAAGUCGAGGUAGGCGGAAUUCCUGGUGUAGCGGUGGAAUGCGCAGAUAUCAGGAAGAACACCCGUGGCGAAGGCGGCUCUCUGGGACGGUACUGACGCUGAGACGCGAAAGCGUGGGAGCGAACAGG